CUCAGGAUGAACGCUAGCGGCAGGCCUAAUACAUGCAAGUCGAGGGGUAGGGGAAGCUUGCUUCCCCGAGACCGGCGCACGGGUGCGUAACGCGUAUGCAACCUACCUUGAUCAGGGGGAUAGCCCGGAGAAAUCCGGAUUAAUACCGCAUUAAGACACAGCCUCGCAUGAGGCAAUGUCCAAACAUUUAUGGGAUCAAGAUGGGCAUGCGUGCCAUUAGCUAGUUGGCGGGGUAACGGCCCACCAAGGCGACGAUGGCUAGGGGAUCUGAGAGGAUGGCCCCCCACACUGGUACUGAGACACGGACCAGACUCCUACGGGAGGCAGCAGUAAGGAAUAUUGGUCAAUGGGCGCAAGCCUGAACCAGCCAUGCCGCGUGCAGGAAGACGGCCCUCCGGGUUGUAAACUGCUUUUAUACCGGAAUAAACCCCGCUACGUGUAGCGGGCUGAAUGUACGGUAGGAAUAAGGAUCGGCUAACUCCGUGCCAGCAGCCGCGGUAAUACGGAGGAUCCAAGCGUUAUCCGGAUUUAUUGGGUUUAAAGGGUGCGUAGGCGGCCUGUUAAGUCAGGGGUGAAAGACGGUGGCUCAACCAUCGCAGUGCCCUUGAUACUGACGGGCUUGAAUUAACUAGAGGCAGGCGGAAUGUGACAAGUAGCGGUGAAAUGCAUAGAUAUGUCACAGAACACCGAUUGCGAAGGCAGCUUGCUAUGGU
rnacentral:rRNA from 2 species